rnacentral:misc_RNA from 1 species
GAAAUUCGAUAAGUAAUGUGAAUUGCAGAAUUCAGUGAAGCAUCGAAUCUUUGAACGCACCUUGCGCUCCUUGGUAUUCCUUGGAGCAUGCCUGUUUGAGUAUCAUGAAAUCUUCAAAGUAAAUCUUUUGUUAACUCAAUUGGUUUCUACUUUGGUAUUGGAGGUCUUUGCAGCUUCACACCUGCUCCUCUUUGUUCAUUAGCUGGAUCUCAGUGUUAUGCUUGGUUCCACUCGGCGUGAUAAGUUAUCUAUCGCUGAGGACACUGUAAAAGGUGGCCAAGGUAAAUGCAGAUGAACCGCUUCUAAUAGUCCAUUGACUUGGACAAUACUUUUAUGAUCUGAUCUCAAAUCAGGUAGGACUACCCGCUGAACUUAAGC